rnacentral:snoRNA from 1 species
UCGCCCUGUGCCUUGCUCGGUUGAGUGCUUCUAAUUACUCGAUCUUGAGCUGGAUAGUUUCUCUUUUCUCACAAAGUGACAACUGAGAUGCUAAUGGGCUAGAUUAAUCAUAAGACUUCUUUUGAGUACGAGUUCACCAAUGACUUUUUAUCUGUCAUCAAUGGUUAUUCUCGUAAUUAGAAUGUCAAACAUAU